rnacentral:rRNA from 1 species
GACGAACGCUGGCGGCGUGCUUAACACAUGCAAGUCGAACGGAAAGGCCCUGCUUUUGUGGGGUGCUCGAGUGGCGAACGGGUGAGUAACACGUGAGUAACCUGCCCUUGACUUUGGGAUAACUUCAGGAAACUGGGGCUAAUACCGGAUAGGAGCUCCUGCUGCAUGGUGGGGGUUGGAAAGUUUCGGCGGUUGGGGAUGGACUCGCGGCUUAUCAGCUUGUUGGUGGGGUAGUGGCUUACCAAGGCUUUGACGGGUAGCCGGCCUGAGAGGGUGACCGGCGACAUUGGGCCUGCGAUACGGCCCAGACUCCUACGGGAGGCAGCAGUGGGAAAUAUUGCACAAUGGGCGGAAGCCUGAUGCGGCAGCGCCGCGUGCGGAAUGACGGCCUUCGGGUAGUAAACCGCUUUCGCCUGUGACGAAGCGUGAGUGACGGUAAUGGAUAAAGAAGCACCGGCUAACUACGUG